UACAGAGGUCUCAAGCGUUGUUCGGAUUCAUUGGGCGUAAAGGGUGUGUAGGUGGCGCCGUAAGUCGGGUGUGAAAUUUCGGAGCUUAACUCCGAAACUGCAUUCGAUACUGCGGUGCUUGAGGACUGGAGAGGAGACUGGAAUUCAUGGUGUAGCAGUGAAAUGCGUAGAGAUCAUGAGGAAGACCAGUGGCGAAGGCGGGGUCUCUGGGACGUGACUGACGCUGAGACGCGAAAGCGUGGGGAGCAAACAGG
rnacentral:rRNA from 1 species